CGUCAUCGGCGAAUACACACCUGUCGCAUCGACCCGUGCCGGGGUGCCUCGCAAGAGGUUCGGCCACGGAGGCGACAGGGAGGCCCAAC
rnacentral:sRNA from 1 species